rnacentral:lncRNA from 1 species
GCGCAGCCUGUGUCCUGGCCUCAGGGCCGCAAGCACAUCAUUUCCCUCCCUGGACCUCAGUUUGCUUCUCUGUGAUGAGAGACCAAGGCGGCCUCCCACCCAGGUUGUUAGGACCACACGAGAGGGAACCGCGGUGACAGUGCCACACCAGACGCCGGGCUCGGCACCGGUGAUCCAAAGAUCCUUGCCCUCGCAAAGCUGAAACCCUAACGUGGGGCGAGGGGGCCGAGGGCGUGGGAACAAGCACUGUGAAUAGGUCAGCUAAACAGGGUAUGAGCGGGCGAUGCCAGUUACGGGGAAAUGAAGCUGAGAGAAGCAUGUGUGUGUGAUGGUGGCGGAGGGACUUACCGUUUUAGGUGGGGUGGUCACGGAGGCCUCCUGAGAAGGUGCCACCUGAUGACAUAAAGGAGGUGCCAGAGCCGGCACGGCAGACGUCUGCGGAGGGCAUUCCAGGCAGACAGUGCGGCCGUGCAAAUGGCUUGAGGCAUGAAGACUAACACAGCAAGGAAGAGGGUGGGCUGCGGCACAGGAUGAGGGUGAGGAAACUGAGGCACAGAGGGGUAAAGUGACCCAGCCAAGGUCACACAGCUGGUGAGUGGCAGAGCUGGGGUUCAAACCCAGGCAGCCUGGUGCUAUGCGGAUACCCAAACCGUCAGGGUGCUUCUCGACGCCAUAUCCACUCCCAGAGGUGGUCCUGUGGUGUCAUCCAUCAUCUGAAGCCAUAGGGUCAUCCUGGGGUCAAGCCCAGGGAUCGUCACCCUCAGCCCAGUAAGAGAAAGGUCCACAAGUUCAAGAACCACAGUUUCCCAUCCCCCCCUUGCUGCUGACCGGCCAGGAAAACCUCGGGCCACUCCCUUUGCCCCCUUGCCUCAGUUUCCACCUCUGUCAAAUGGAGAAUAGAAAAAGCUCUUCAGCCUUUAUUAGCCCUGGGAUCUGACCCCAACCAUCCCGUAUUUGUUGAGUGACCUUUCUGAGCCAGAAUGCCUCUGGGGCUGCUUCCCUUGUCUGCAAAAUGGAGCUAAUGCUAUCUGUGCUUCUUGAGCUCUGUGGACAGACAGACGGACGGCAGGGAGAGCCCCAUGAGAAGGCCUGGGUGUGGCUGCAGCUGGCCCAGCCUGUGCACCCUCGGCCCAGCCUCUGAAGCUGGGGCCUGACAGCAGCUCAGCUCCUGCCCCAACACGGGGAGGCCAGCCCUCCACUCAUUCAGCAGCCAUUUGUUGAACAUCGACUCCGGCCAGGCCCUGGGCUGGGUACCGGGGAUGCAACUGGGACCGAGACCGAUCCAACCCCUGUCGUCACAGUCUGGGGGAAGACAGACAUCUGUAAGGAAGCCGCAUCCUGUGAAAUGCGCAGGUGGACAAGUGUCAUGAGGGAGGGGUGCAGGGGACACCCAUGAGAGUGAGUCCCCCGGGAGAGAACGCUCUGUGGGAGCGGGCCGUGGAGGAGGGGACCCCAGGGAGGGGCUUCCUGAAGCGAUGAUGAGCUGAGAGCUGUGGGGAUGAGCCAGAGCUCAUUAGGUGGACUUGGGGCAAGAGUGGAAGGGCUUGGGCGAAGGCCCCGGGGCAGAGGGAGUGACACGUGCACGGUCACGGCCUGUGAGAGACCUGAGCCCACGCCCAAGGCCCUGGCAGAGGCAGGGAAGCGGAGGAAGGUCAGCACUUCCGAGACGUGCCGCAGCAGCUGGCGGGGGACGUGGGGGAGCAGGGUCAGGCCUCCGCGGGUCAGUCACGGGGUCACAGUUUCAGAAGAGCGGGCAUCUUGGACCAUCCCAAGUCCUCGUGGUGCAGACAGGGAAGUGGAGACACAGCUGGGCAAGGACACGGCCAAGGUCAAAGCAAGGCGGGCAGAGCCGGGAAAGAACACCUGCCCAGGGCUCUGUCUGCAUCUGGAGGGCGGCCCGAGAAGCGGGAGAAAACCAAACAUCAAUUUCACACCUACUAUGUGACCCACGGUCCUGAGCACACGCACGCACGCACGCACACACACACACACACACGCACACGCUUCACCACUGGGUCCCUGGGCCUCAGGCUAGACUUGUGGCCCUGGGCACUCCUUCCGAAAAUGAGGAGAAGGAUCCUAGGGAGGUCUUUCGAUCCAGCCCACUGCCACUGGCCUCAAGGCCUCAUCUCAUUGUCUCCUUUGAAAUCCUCUAUGGUGAACAGAAAUUAUAAUCCCCAUUUUGUAGAUGAGCACACCAAGGGAAGGAGAAACUGACCCAAAACCCCACAGUAAUCAUCAGCCAAAGCUGUCUCGACUCCUACUUUAGUGCUCUGUCCGAGAUCCUGCGUUGCCCAGAUCUGAACCGUCUGGCAGGGAGGAAGUCCCUCCUGCAGUCUAACUGAAAUCUCUCGUACUUUACUAUGUCAACUGCCCGUUGUUUGUGGCUGAAGAUGCGAAAAAGCACUGUGAUCCUUCUGGGCCUUGACUGUCAUCUUGGAGGGGACUGAGCAGGGGGUAGGAGACUCAGGGACACCCCCCUUGCCCUCCAGAAUCUGAAUCCAGUUGCAGGUUUGCUUGAGGGGGUGGGAGAGAGAGCCAGGCCAUUUGCCACUGGGGCCUUUCUUCGAAGGGAAGGCUCUGGGACAGCUCUGGGAAGAAUUCCCUGGGGAAGAAGUGCUUCUGGAUCACCCUGAGGACACACACGCUCCCCCAGGACACAGCUGCCCAGGGGCCAAGCUCCCGGCCAGCGCCAGGCGGAACCCAAGGCCUUGGAUCCACCCCUGUGGCCGGAGGCGGCCUUGAGUUCCCUCCGCACACAGGCCCGUUCGACUCGCUUGUCAGAAGCCACUCAACAAAAUCCAAUUUAUGGAGCCAAUGUGAAAUGGGGAAAAUUCCUCUAAACCAAAAAUGCCUUCUUUCAAACCAGAAAGGAGGGGGGCCCGACAGCUGGGCACGCAGACGAGCAGGCCCCGGGCCGAGACGCAGCCUCGAACGCCAUGGAGGGCAGCCCAGUCUGGACCAUUACUCGGCCUCUUUCUCCAGAGAGACCCACAGUUCCCGGAGAUGUCAGGGCUCGGGGCGCCCCGCAUUUCCUGAGAAAGCUGAGGUCUUCGAGAUGCUGGUGGCGACUUACUGAGGGCCUACUGUGUGCUGGGCACUGUGCUAAGUGCUUCCAUGUGGACCCUCCCAGCAACCCCACGAGCCUCUACGAAGGAAAACAUGGCAUCCACUGGGCACCUGUCAUAUGCCAGGCACUGUCACACACGUUAUUCUGCUGAAACUUUACAUCCAUGGCCGUCUGUCGGUUACGCAGAUGAUGAAGUUGGGGUUCGGUGACUUGCCUGAGGUCACCCAGCAAAGGUGGACUGAUGGGUUCAUUCACUGGGGAAGCGGCCAUCUGGGACCUGUGAGCAUGAAGAAUGCCAUGGCGGACGGUAGUUAGAUCUGCCAGAGGCCUACGUUCUUGUCGCUCUCCUGCCCCCUCUGCCACACUAGAAACUCAGCCUAAGGUUGACAAUCAGGUUUUUAGGUUCUGAAAGGCAGGCAAAGACCCAGGCUGCAUGGAGAGGGGGUCCGGCUUAGUGGUUACUGAAGUGGGUCUUGGAACUGGACAGAGACCUGGGCUUAAACAGGGGGCCCCGCCACCUCGGCACCAGGGUACCCUCGCUGCAAGUGGUCUUUAGCAUGGCCGGGCUAGAUAAGCGCCUUGUUUUCAGGAAGAGAGGCAGCUGUGGGGGUAAGUGGCAAGGGGCAUAUUGGCAAAGUCAGGGCUUGGGCUUCCAAAUCAUGCAGAAGUCCCCGUACCCCUGGGGCUGGGUGGCCUUUGGCGAUGACUUCCCCUCUCUGAGCCCCAGUGAUCAUCUCUGAAAAAUGGGCAUGCCAGCAUGGAACCAAAAAGAGCUCUUAGGAAGAUAAAGAGGAAAAAUGACUGUGGAGUUGUUGGUGUAUAUAAAGUAACACGGA